rnacentral:rRNA from 1 species
UCCACAGACAUGACUAGUACGGCGAGUGAGCGGCAACAGCUCAAAUUUGAAAGCUAGCCUUCGGGUUCGCAUUGUAAUUUGUAGAGGAUGAUUUGGGGAAGCCGCCUGUCUAAGUUCCUUGGAACAGGACGUCAUAGAGGGUGAGAAUCCCGUAUGUGACAGGAAAUGGCACCCUAUGUAAAUCUCCUUCGACGAGUCGAGUUGUUUGGGAAUGCAGCUCUAAAUGGGAGGUAAAUUUCUUCUAAAGCUAAAUAUUGGCGAGAGACCGAUAGCGCACAAGUAGAGUGAUCGAAAGAUGAAAAGCACUUUGGAAAGAGAGUUAAAAAGCACGUGAAAUUGUUGAAAGGGAAGCGCUUGCAAUCAGACUUGUUUAAACUGUUCGGCCGGUCUUCUGACCGGUUUACUCAGUUUGGACAGGCCAGCAUCAGUUUCGGCGGCCGGAUAAAGGCUCUGGGAAUGUGGCCUCCACUUCGGUGGAGGUGUUAUAGCCCAGGGUGUAAUACGGCCAGCCGGGACUGAGGUCCGCGCUCGGCUAGGAUGCUGCGUCCUAU